rnacentral:pre_miRNA from 1 species
UAACUACUCCCUCCGUUCCAAAUUACUUGUCACAGAAAUGGAUGUAUUUAGAACUAAAACACAUCUAGAUACAUCCAUACCUGCGACAAGUAAUUCGGAACGAAGGAAGUAUUAA